UAAGGAAUAUUGGUCAAUGGACGCAAGUCUGAACCAGCCAUGCCGCGUGGAGGAUUAAGGCCCUCUGGGUUGUAAACUCCUUUUAUCUGGGAAGAAAUGUACUUUUUCUUGAGUACUUGACGGUACCAGAGGAAUAAGCACCGGCUAACUCCGUGCCAGCAGCCGCGGUAAUACGGAGGCUGCAAGCGUUAUCCGGAUUCACUGGGUUUAAAGGGUGCGUAGGUGGGCAGGUAAGUCAGUGGUGAAAUCUCCGGGCUUAACCCGGAAACUGCCGUUGAUACUAUUUGUCUUGAAUAUUGUGGAGGUAAGCGGAAUAUGUCAUGUAGCGGUGAAAUGCUUAGAUAUGACAUAGAACACCAAUUGCGAAGGCAGCUUACUACACAAUCAUUGACGCUGAGGCACGAAAGCGUGGGGAUCAAACA
rnacentral:rRNA from 1 species